UUCAUGUGCACUCAACGAUAACGUUCUCCACUUCAAGCAAUUACAUCUUCUCACAUACACAGAAUUAAGAUUUUUGUUUCAAUAAAAUUACCAGGUAAACGUGAAGCAUAAAAUAAUGGAAAAAGAAAUCAGAGCGUGGUCUAGGGAUAACCUUUCUCUAGCGUGGUCG